GCGUACCUCUGUUCCAGUCCGCCGCCAUGUUGGCGUGUGACGUUGCAACCGGAUGCAGAUCCUGAACCAAACGUGAUUGGAGCGGGUGUGGCGUGACGUCACCAAAAUAAACAACCCCUGCCGACCGUGCUCUUUACAGUUCCAUUGAUUCCUGGCAACCAGUCGAGGGCGUCUCCCGCCUCCUGCCCGAUGAAAGCUCGGAUAGGCUCCCGCACUCCCGCGAUCCUUGUGAGGAUAAGCAAGCGGCUCAGGGGGGAGUCCUGCGAGGCGGCGGGACAACGCGAGUGAGAGGACGAAGUGACCCGGGGCCGGCGGGGGACCCGGACCUGCGUGACGCAGGCGCCGGUGAAGGCCACGAUGACGGCCACCACGUUGACGGUGAGCUGGA